rfam:Methanolinea sp. SDB scaffold-970, whole genome shotgun sequence.
AGCACUCUUUCAUUUUAUGAAAGUGCUGGCAUAUGUAAGUCCGACGUGCCGCUCCCGGCACGGCCCCCCGAGAAAUUGGGCUUUGGGAUUAC